rnacentral:lncRNA from 1 species
ACCAAAUAUAUUCUAUUCUCCAUAACAAUAAUUAUAGUGUCAAAUAGCAAUUACAGGAUACCGACAAAAAAUAUACGAACAAUUGAAUCCUUGUCAUAAGCAUAUUGUUUUACACAAUGACCGAUGGUCAAAGGAUAUACUUCAACGCCAAUGCAUUGAAUAUUAUCUUUUUACAAUUGUUGAUAGGUGACGUCCCCCAUGGUCUGUUAACAAUCGGAAUAAAGGGUUCACCAAGAGGGCA